UUGAUUCUCUUAUCCAACUGU
rnacentral:miRNA from 1 species